rnacentral:rRNA from 1 species
UACGGAGGGUGCAAGCGUUAUCCGGAUUCACUGGGUUUAAAGGGCGCGCAGGCGGAUUGGUAAGUCAGUGGUGAAAGGCUUAAGCUUAACUUGGGAACUGCCAUUGAUACUAUCAGUCUUGAAUGUUGUUGAGGUUUGCGGAAUGGGUCAUGUAGCGGUGAAAUGCAUAGAUAUGACCCGGAACACCUAUUGCGAAGGCAGCAGGCUAAACAAAUAUUGACGCUGAGGCUCGAAAGCGUGGGGAGCAAACAGG